ensembl:lncRNA
GGCUAAAUUCAUUAGGUGCUUACAGCUCUCAGGAGCUUUCAGUAUCUGAAGACAGUUCACUUGUGGAAGAGUUAAACACUCGUCUAAUUUGGGAUCUACACUACAGUCUGGGGCUGUGAUGAAACCACUGUUCAGUGUUGCAGAUGCCUGUCAGGAAUUCUAGGACAGCAAAAGGCAGAUGAAUCAACCUAUCCAGCUUACCUUCUAUUUUUGCUGGUUGCUGUGGCCCUUCAUGAACUGGGACAAAAUUCAUCCUACAGAAGACGUAAGACAAUGUCACAGGGCAUGCACUCUGAGAUUACCCGUGGAUGGGGCACUGGGAUGAGACUCAGAAGAUUUAGAACAAAUCCCCAGAUCAGAGCAUCUUACCCGGUGACUUUGAGUGAAUCACUAUGCCUCAAUUCAGAAACACAUCCAAACAUGUGAAUAAUUCCAUGUUCAUGCAACCAAAUGUUUGGUGGCCAGAUGCUUGCACAAUGGGCUCCACCAAUUAAUGGAGUAUUGUAGCCUAGGCUGACAUUCAAGAAUCAUUACGGCUGGAAAAGACCUUUAAGAUCAUCUAAUCCAACCAUGAACCCAUCACCACUGUGCUUAUAAACCACGUCCUGACCUGCCUGUUUCGCACCAUAACCUGCACCCACUGUUGAGAUUGGUGCUUGGCUCUGCUUUCCUGUGGACUUUAAUAAGAGUUUCACUGGAACCAGACUGACUACUUGUAGGGAGUGUGCUAUACAACAUGAGGAUGACAAAGGACCCGCUCUGCGUGGGAGAAGCAAGCAGCUGUAGACUCCAUAUUAGCAGCUCUGCCAAUUCAUUGUGCCCUUUGUGACAACAUGGUGGCCGAGAUGCUGACCUCAUCUCUGAAAGCAAAAGAACAGAUAGAGCAAAAAAGCCCCUGUUUUCAGAAAUACUACUUCUUUCCUUUGUCAUCUUACUCUACAAAGAGCAUCCCUUUCAGCCUACAUUUUCUCAUGGUUUUCUUUUUUAUGAUGAAGUUCAACUCAAUGUGCAAAAUGGGAUCAGCUUAGAGGCCUGGGCUGUCUUUGUCACAGAUCAAACUUUACAGUUAGCAGGUUUGACAAAGGAAAUAAUAUAAAAUUUCAUAUUAAGGACAUCAAAUCCACUUCUUGUGCAAAAAUACUGCUUUUAUCCCACGCCUCUAGGUCUGCUGUGGCUUAAAACAAAAUGGUUCAUGUACAUCAUAAUCUAGAUGUUCUAGGAGUAGAACCUACUUCCACAGCUGGACAGAGAAAAGUAAUCCCAUAGUUUUCAGAGAAUACCUAAGAUUUUUUUAAAUCUGGUUUCAUUCUCUAUAGGAGCAAGCCUUUCCACAUUCUAUAAGCAAUCAAUGAGAAGACAUCAGGCCCCAGACCCAGAGAUGUGCACCUGUCUGUCCAUGUUGGGGCCCCUCAGAAUGCCUGUGACAUAGAGUGACUGGGAUGGCUAUCUGAGGGACAACACCAGCAUUCUGCCAAUGCCAUGCUAAUACCACACUUUCUCCAAGGAAUAUCAUCAUUUCCCCACUCUAUAAAACUCCCACCUACUUUCACUGCAUUUUUCUGCAUCAGCCUUCCCCACAGUUUUGAGCUAAACUUAUUGUUAAAUGAGAGUAUUACGAUCAUCUACAGCAUUUUUGACCCUUCUGAUUGGCUUUCACUACUACUGACAGAUUAGGCUGCUCAGAUGUUUGUCCAGGUGUCACUUUCACAAAAUUGCCAAAAUAAUAGAUGAGUCCACCUAUUUAACCAGGCUUUCUAACAUUUCUAUGUAGGUAUUUGAAAGGAUAAUCUUAUACAGAAAUCAUUCCGCCCCAAUGAAAGUCAACCUUUGUCUGAAACAUCAAAUUUAAGAUCAUGAGCAACCUUAAGAACAAUAUUUUUGGCACAAAAUAGUUCCUGUUUCAAUUUUUAAUCCUCUUUAAACACCAUUCUUUUCCAGUUAAACACCUGCUUUAGCCCUGCAGAAGCUGAUGCUAUAGAAUUAUAUUCAAUACCUAUUAUUCUUCUAAGUGGGAAAAAACUUCAGAGGGAAAAGUGGAAUAGCUGUUAUGACAGUAGCACUUUAUUAUAGAAUGUCUUUUGAAAAAAAAAAGAAAGGUAAAUCAGUGGCUUUGACAGAAGAUUGUGGAGUCCUAUUACAUAGUAAAAUAUUAUUAAAAAAAGAAAAUGUCUUUCAAAUUUCAAAUAAAUGUCAAGCUAAUUGUCUCACCAUUUU